AUAAAAGUCAAUUAAAUUAAAUAAAUUACUUUAAAAUUUAUUAAUGAUUUUUAUAUCAUAAAUCCUUUUUUUUAUGAUAAGCCAGCGAUGAAUACAAGUGGAAGCCUCCAAAAAAACCCUCUCGUCGUGUGCUUCGUUAUCUCCGUACCCCGCCACUUCCAACUCUCAUCUUCGCAUCCGCGCUCCGCCUCCCGACAACCGCCGGAGUCCCGCCUCUCUCGCCGCCGCCCCCAGGGCUUCUCCAAUCGAAGUAGAGAAUGGCUCAAACCGUCCACCUUCUCUCUCCUCCGACGCCUUCCCCUUCCCGGCCCCUCUCCAAUCUCCUUCUCCGCCCCCCUUCUCCCACUGUCCUCCGCCUCCUUCCCCACUUCUCAUCCCACCGCCACCUUUGUCUCUUCCAUCCUUGUGGCGCCUCCACCACCCCUUCCUCACCGCUGGAUCUCGGCCUCCGUGCCUCCGACAACGGCGCCAGUAACCUCGCCGCAGCGGCCGUGGCAUCGGCAACGAUUGAUGUCGACGCCGUGACCGAGGCCGAGCUGAAGGAGAUUGGUUUCCGGAGUACUAGGCGGACGAAGCUUGUGUGCACGAUUGGGCCGGCCACCUGCGGAGCUGAGCAGCUGGAGGCGCUCGCCACUGGUGGGAUGAAUGUGGCGAGAGUAAACAUGUGCCACGGCACUCACGAAUGGCAUCGACAGGUCAUUCGCCAGGUCCGACAGCUUAACAAGGAGGUUUGCGGUCGCUGUGAUGAUGGAUACUGAGGGCAGUGAGAUCCACAUGGGUGACCUUGGUGGCGCUGCCUCUGCUAAGGCCGAGGAUGGUGAAAUUUGGACAUUUAGUGUAAGAGCUUUUAACUCACCUCUUCCAGAACAUACGAUCCAUGUGAAUUAUGAUGGCUUUGCUGAAGAUGUAAAAGUGGGUGACGAACUUCUUGUGGAUGGAGGAAUGGUCAGGUUUGAGGUGAUUGAGAAGAUUAGUCCAGAUGUGAAGUGUCACUGCACCGAUCCUGGGUUGCUACUACCACGCGCUAAUCUUACAUUCUGGAGAUUGGUCCAGAUGUGAAGUGUCGCUGCACCGAUCCUGGGUUGCUACUACCACGCGCUAAUCUUACAUUCUGGCGUGAUGGUAGCUUAGUGCGUGAAUCUAAUGCCAUGCUUCCUACAAUUUCUUCUAAGGAUUGGCUUGAUAUAGACUUUGGUAUUGCCGAGGGUGUAGAUUUUAUUGCUGUUUCAUUUGUCAAAUCUGCUGAAGUUAUUAAUCAUCUCAAAAGCUACAUAGCUGCACGAUGUCGGGACAGGUAAAUGAAAAAUGCCUCUUCCUUUUUCCA